CUUGAGGGGGCGGGGAUUCCGACCCGCAUAAAUUUGCAUACAUUAUAGAGUCCGUUGCUGUGCUGACCAAGCGGCCAUUUUUCUCUUUUUGCCUCUUUCAAUAAUGGCUGCAUCAAGUUCAAGUGGACCCUCUAAACCGCAGGGAUUUGACGUUCAAACUGCGAAAGUAUCUACAAGGAUGCCAGAGCCUUACUCCUGAUGGCCAGUGGUGAUGAUAACUUAUUAAGCAAUGGCAGAUUCCAGACACAUAACGGUAAGAUAAGUGUAGGGUUGGAAGUAAUGUCUUUAUGGCAGUGUUGCAGGUCACCUGUUUUUUUUUAUACAUCUUUGCUUGCCGUACUCUUUAAAACAAAAUAGUUGCCUGUCUGUCAGUGUAAAAAGGGUGCUGUGCCAAGCCAUUUGUAACUAAAUUAAUUUUAAAUAUGAAUAUUCUGCUCCAAUCUGGACAAAAAGUUUUCACAUAUUUUGCAUUUUUAAAUCACAAAUGUAUUUUAAACUAAAAUUCAUUAAAAGUCUUAUGAAAUGGACGUACUUGUUUAUGUAAAUGAUUUAGUUUGUUUAUCUUCCUGUUGUGUUCAUGUACGUAUGCAUAGAUUAUUAUGUCAUUAGUGCACAAUUAGCAAAUGUAUCAAUUUCUGUUCCAGGUACCAUUAAUAAGGAGGCAGUUCUAUGAAAGAUUGCUAACAAAGCUUCAUGGAGCUCUACAACGCAGACCUGUAGAUAUGGACUAUUUGCAUUAUGUCAUCAGUCAUGAAUUGAGACUUAUACGGUCAUUUGGUAAUAUUUUAGCAGUACCACAAGAUAUUCUUAAUGCCUUAUCCAAUCUUUUGAGACUGAUAAAUUUUCAAGACGGAGAGAGACACCCACAUUCUUCUCUUGUUGAUGUUGUAUACACAGCGAGAGGACAACGUAAACUUAGUAUAUCAGAAGAAUGUUUGCAAAGCCUCAUCAACAUGAAAUUUUCCAUUCCCUGUAUAGCUCGGCUUCUGGGUGUCAGCAAAAGGACAUUAUUUCGUCGGAUGCAAGAGUAUGGACUUUCAGUGCAUGCAUCAUACAGCAGUGUCACAGAUGAUGAGCUGGACAGCCUUGUUAGAUCAGUUAAAAUGAGACUGCCACACAUCGGCUAUCGAAUGAUGAUGGGGGAACUGCAGGCCAUGGGAUACCGUGUCAAAUGGGUGCAAGUGUCUGCAUCGAUGCAUAGGGUAGAUGCUGCAGGAAUCCUAGAAAGGAUGGCAUCUGUCGGCUGUGUUGCAAGAAGAGUGUACUCUGUAAAAGGUCCCCUCUCAUUGGUCCAUGUAGAUACAAACCACAAACUCAUCAGAUAUGGCAUAGUUAUAUUUGCUGGGAUUGAUGGCUAUUCGCGAAAGGUAAACAAUAUUUCAUUGCAAUCACAAUUUUUUUCCUCAAAAUUAAUUAA